UUGGAGGGCAAGUCUGGUGCCAGCAGCCGCGGUAAUUCCAGCUCCAAUAGCGUAUAUUAAAGUUGUUGCAGUUAAAAAGCUCGUAGUUGAACUUCGGGGUCUACCCAUUGGUCAGGCUUAAUUGUCUGCACUGGUGAGAUGGAUCUCUACCUUCUGAGGAACUCUCAUGCCAUUUAUUUGGUGUGGUUGGAAAUCAGGACUGUUACUUUGAAAAAAUUAGAGUGUUUAAAGCAGACUAUCGUCCGAAUACAUUAGCAUGGAAUAAUGAAAUAGGACGGACUGAUUCUAUUUCGUUGGUUUCUGGGAUCACCGUAAUGAUUAAUAGGGAUAGUUGGGGGCAUUAGUAUUCAAUUGUCAGAGGUGAAAUUCUUGGAUUUAUUGAAGACUAACUACUGCGAAAGCAUUUGCCAAGGAUGUUUUCAUUAAUCAAGAACGAAAGUUAGGGGAUCGAAGACGAUCAGAUACCGUCGUAGUCUUAACCAUAAACUAUGCCGACUAGGGAUCGGACGAAGUUAAUUUUAUAAUGACGCGUUCGGCACCUUACGGGAAAC
rnacentral:rRNA from 1 species